UCUUUCCAGGCCGAGAAUAUCAAUGCCUUCACCAGAUGAAAUGUGGUAACCCUGCCAUCCGCACCACACUCCGCCUCAAGUUUAUUUCUAAAAUUUGGAAAGGACCCAACUACACUAUCACCCUUGUAUAGUUCAGGAACAUCCUCAAGGUCUAAUGUCUUCUUAUUGCCAAGCGCAAUUAGAGGACCCAUCCAAGAAAGAGUAAGGAGGCUGAAAAUUCCAGCAUUUGAAUAAGGGGUAACAGGUGUACGCCCUUUGGAAUUAUUUGACUCUGCAUUACCAUUACCAUUACCAUUCAAAAGGGGUUCCUCAAGAACUGUAUUUCUGCCCUCUUUCUUCCCAAAAAACCCCACAUAUAUAAAGAACAAACCCGAGAUGACGCAGACAACAUCAAAAACUAAAGAUUGAACGGGCAAGGAAACGUGUUCCUUGUAAAGAAGGAUAUCUAUCACAAGGGAAUAGCAAGAGAUAGAAAAGUAGGAACCCCACCAAAGUCUCAAUAAAUUUGGGAACUUUGAUUCAGAAGAAUUAGAGAACUGGGUAUGCAAGUAGAUACAAAGAGCACCCCAGGCAAGUGUUCUAAUGGCUAAAUCAAAAAGGGUCACUAGCUUUUCCUCAGACCAAUCAUUUCUAUGCCAAUAGAAGUAGUUCAAUAAACAAAAAACAAGACUGAGCCCAGAAACACCAAGACAACAGAGUAAAGUUAGCUUAUAAUACCAACUUUGAACACUCCCAAACCUCUGUUUUGGACCUUCUCCAUCACCCACCUUGAAUUUCUUCCACACCCAAGAGACGAGCAACACAAAUAACAAAACUAGGUGUAAUGAGCCAGAAAACCCACGUAUGAAAACCGGUUUGAGAAGAAAAUCGGUACCUGGAUACGUAAUGAAUGAUGAUGAGUAGUGUGAGAAGAAGGCUGAGAGAGCACCGUGCUUUGAAGAAUCAAAAAGCUCCAUAAUUUGUGGAGCUUUUUGUUGGGGGCUCUCUGAAAUUCUGGAAAAUGGGGUUUUGGUUGGAAUGGUUUGUUAUAUAGAGGGGAGAGAGAGAGAGAGAGAGAGGGAGAGAGAGAGAGAGAGAAAUUAGUUUGUGGACGACUCAGGGAGUGUAGUCAGAGAAUGGAGAGUCAAAUGUCAAUGUGAAUUUUUCCUGGAAGGUAGGCUAACGUGGUGCCCAAGACUCACAUCACGGAGAUAGCUAUAGAUGGCUGCAAAGUGACGCAGAAAAUUGUUGGUUCCAGGAAAUAUGUGAACUGAUGAUAGAGAGCGAUAGACCAAUCCAUUAUAAUCUCUCUCUUGUAGAGCCCACCAAAUUGUAUUUUAUCAAUUUAAACCUUCUAUUUUUUAGAUAUUUAUUCAAAAAUUAGCUCUAUUUAAAUAAAAUCAUUCUAUAUAUUUCUGUGUUUGAGGAAAAUUAUCAUAUAAAAUUGUUAUGUAUAGUUGACUUUGACUAAAGAGAUUCUAUAUGUGAUAUUUUUAUCUGUGGUGGGGAAAUGAGAGAACUUGAACCCAGCUUUGACACACAUAACAACAACAACAAAAAAACAAAAAAAAUAUAAAAAGAAACUGGAAAAAGUAUAUGGUAGAGAGGAAAGUUAGUGUAUGGUAGAGAGGAAAGUAAGCAAAUCCCGAUCACACAAGCCAGCCCUACAACCAGCUAAUGUCUGAGUUUACAACCAAUCUCUAUUAAAGAGCAAGACCCACCAUGAUGUGAUGUGGUGAAUGUGGUUUUGUGUGCACAGCAAGAUAAUUGAUAAUUUUGGAUCUUCUUGUGUUAAAUCAUAUGCUGGACUUACUAAGGUAAAAUAAGAAAAUAAGGGCAUAUCUGGUAAUGUUUUUAUAGAAUAUUUUUAGAGAAUGCUUUCAGAGAAUGAAAACGAGAAAACGAAUUUGCAUUUUCAGAAUUCAAGAAUGCAUCUGGUAGAUUAAUUAGAAAACAUAUUCAGAAUAUAAAAACAAUGAGAACAUGUCUGAUAGUACAAUUUGAGAAUAAUAAUAUGUGAGCUAUUUUUCAAGUGUAUUUUUGAUAAUGUAUGUUCUAAACAAAAUAAUUAAAAAUUAAUAAAAUUCUAAUGUUAGAAAAACCUAGAAUUAUCUUUAAUAAUAAGUGAAAAUGAUAAAUAAAAAAGUUGAAUUUUGUUGGUUAAUUGAUAAACUGAACAAGUAUGCAUCUAAGAAUAGUUUUUUAUACACACAAAUUUUUUUUUUCCCCAAAAUAAAUACAGAUUAUUGAGUAAAGAACUUCUUGUAGUAGGAUAUGAGAAUAAAAUAAACAAUGAAGUGUCAUUUCUUUUCAACUUUUGUUUUUUCAUUAAUAUUUUUUAAUGUUUAUUGUAACAAAAAAAACUAAAAUGAUCUGAAACUAAUGUUUAAUUAAAACAAGAUUAUAAAAUAAAAUAAAAAUGUUAGCACACUUUUUCUUCCUCCUUCUUCUCGACUUUUCUUCUCCCAAUUCACAAACUCCCCACUGCCCACCUCCCCUCUUUUUUCACUUUCACUUUCACUCUCUCAUCUCUUUUCAUACAUCCUCUCCUCCCAUGUGUGCUGGUGUCGCUUGGGUUUAUAUAAUACAUGUGAAAACAGCAACAAAAUCACACUGAAACACAUAAUUCAAAUCAAUAACUAUCACCCUCGAUUUGUUCAAUUGGGUUGGCGGUGGCUAUUACGGUUCGAGUGAUUGGGUGGUGAUGGUGGAGGGAGGCUAUGGCUUUGAGGAGUUUGAUUCAAGCCAAGGAUCUGAUUGUGGUGAAGGCUGUGGCCUUGGAGUCAGAGUGGGUCUCACAAAAGAAGGCAAAGAGAGAAAGGAAGAGACAGAGGGGUGUUUAAUUUUUGGGUAUGGGAUUUGAGAAAGGUGAGAAUGGAAUAGAGCAUGAUGAUGUCUUGUUCCAGCUUUAUUAUAGCAUCCACAGUGGGGGUGUAAAUUCGGGGGUGUAAAGCCACUUUUAUAUCCUAUUUACACCCCCGGGGUUGUAAAUACGUUUUUGGCUCCAAUGAAAAAAGAUAUAAAUCUAAGAUGUAUAAUUGUUUUGUUUGUCAUAAUUUGUUUUUGUGUUAAAUUUGUAUUUUGUGUUUACUUUAUAAAAUUAAAUUUUUUUGUAUUAGGUUAAUUUUAAUUUUUCAAACAAAUAGAUUUAAAAAUAUUUAAAUUCGAAAAAGAUAUGAUUUCAUCCAAAAACAUUGGGGAGCAUGAAAAUCACAAAUGAGCAAACAACAUCUGAUUUUUUUUUCAGCAAUUACUGUAGCCGCGGGUCCCAGCCUUUUAUGUUGACUUUUCUUCAUUUUUCUUCUCUUUUCUCGGGUGGAUCCCGCCUACAAAAGAUGUAAAAAUAGAUGUAAAUGUACAUUUUAUUUUACAUCUCUAUGGUGGUGAUGUAUAUUUACAACCCUUUACAUCUCUCCAUUAAAGACGAUUCCGGUGACAAGGGGUGUAUAUUUAACAUACACUCCCAUAUACACCCUCCUAUUGUGGAUGCUUUUAUGUAAAAUUGUUUGGGCAUGGCAAGAAUGUAAUCACAAAACAGUCAUUUUAUAUGCAACGCCAAAGUGACUUGGGGAGUUCAGGUUUAAGCAUGGCAGGAAUGGAUAGCCAUGGUCGGGACUCGGGACUGUAAUUAAAGGGAGGUGGGUGGCAUGUGAUCAAAAUUAACAAAAAAUUAGAAGGGCUUAAUUCUUAUUAUCCUUAUGUUCUGCUCUUACUUAAUUCUUAUUAAAAUGUAAUGGUAAGUUUUUUGUUUUUCAUUUCUUAAAUGUUGAAUGAGAUAUUGAUCAAAUAAGAAAAUUGAUAAACAAGAUAUUGUCAAUGGGAGCUGUUAGUGGCAAUCAAAAAUGUCAUAUUGCACUCAUCGUUUGUAAUUAUAUAAGGGAAAAUUACAUGAUGAUUUUUUUAAGUGCCAAAAAUAGUUCCUUUUAAUUAUAAUAUGAAAGCUAGAAAGUUGAUAUAGAUACAAAUUCUCAUUGAGGAGUUGGGGUUAAUCUUUAGAUUUGAUGACUUAGAUCUAAAUUAUUUAACUUUCCUGCCACAUAGGAUUACAUUCCUUUUUAAAAUAGGGUAAAGUACCGAAUACUCCUUUGAACUAUCAUCCUUGUUGAAAUCUACAUCCAGGAUUAAUUUUUCAGCCAAUUUAGGCAUUGUACUAAAUUUUAUCGCCAAUUUACCACUCACUGUUAAUUUUUGACAAUUUCUGUUCAAAUCUCUGUUAAAAAAGUCACAUGUCAGGCACAUGAUUUAUUGUUGAAUUAAAAAUUAAUUUUUUUAACCUCUUUCUUAUACUCUCUCUCUCUCAGCUAGUCUCGAACCCGGAUGGGUUUUUGGCUUUGAACACAAUCCCAAGCUACUGGAGACCAGCAAAUAUUUUUUUUCUUCCCUGCUUCGCCAAAGAGCUCGAAUGAGAGAAAUCAAUCGAAGAGAGAAGAGGUUAAAAUCAAUCGCCGGAAAAUCCAAAUUGGGGGCUGGGUAAUAUGGGUUUCGAUUGUGUUGGUUUUGGGCACAGAUAUAUUUAAGUAGGCUGCGGAGUAGAGGAAUGAAAAAUUGAAUUUACUUCCUGCAAAAUUUUAUUAAGAUGCUGGAUACAAAUUAAACCUUACUUUAAAGAAAAAAUUUCUAGGGUAGAGGAUUGCCAAAAGCAAGCUAAAUAUCCGAGUAAGGCAGCAUCAGGUGGCUAACAAUAAUUACAUCCUCAUCCCGUUUCAACAUACCAGAUCAGAGAGCCUUGAUAUCUACCUUCCCUUGACACACACUUGACAAUUGAGGUACUUCGCCAAGAUAUCUGUUCACACAUAUCUCCAACAACUGCUUCUCCGCAGGUUUCAGCAGAGAACCCAGACUCAAAUUCUCAUUUAUGAGACCUUUCAACAGCAGAACUUUAACAACAGAGCACCUUGGAAUAAGUCAAAUUGAACCAAAUUGGGGGCGGGGGUUUUGGAAGAGAUUUUUUGGCGAUUGUCUUGGCUAUUGUUGGGGUAGGGUGAGCUGAGGCAUAGGAGGAAGAAACAGGGAGAGAGAAGAAGAGACGAGGAGAUAGAGAGAGGGUUCGCAAGGGAGCCAGGUAAUUUCGGUUGCAGGGAAUCACGUGGCUAACAUGUCAAAUCUAGACGGAAAAUUGGAUGAAAUUGCAUGAAAACUGACGGUAGGGGUUAAAUUGGCCAUUUAAAAUAAUAUGAAGGAUAAAAUGGCUGAAAAAAUAAUUCAUGGUGGAGAUUUGGAUAAUUAAUAUAGUUCGGGGGUAUUCGGCAGUUUACCCUUUUAAAUAUAUUAUGAUGUAAUCUUUUUAUUUUUUUAUUUUAAAAUUAUUUUUGUUCCAAUGAUGCCUUUAUUCGGGUAAUAGUGUUUUAUGUCAUAAUAAUUAGCCAUUUACAAUAUUUGGCAUUGACUACAAAAGGCAGAUACAGCAGACGGGAGAAGCUAUUUAUAUUUUUUGGCAUUGAUAUAAUUGACUGUGUGGGGGUCUUUUUCUUCCGGCAGCUGCAAAUGGGCUGGGCUGCCGUAAAGGGGAAAUUACUGAAAUUGCCCCCUGUGCUUGAGUUCGAAAAUUAAGCCCCAAAAGCACUUCGAAAGGGCAGUAAAGCCUUAGGAAGUGUUCUGGUUACCUUCACCAACGAAAAUGAUGGCUGCUUACAGGUGAUUUAUGCUUGCUUACAGAUAAAGUUUUAGCUUAGCAUGAGGAGAUUGUGGCAUGGGAGCAAGGUCAGCAUGAGUUGAGCACCAAAGAGGAAAAUAAGGCUUCCUAGGGAGAAAUGGGAGUGUUUAAGAUGAGGGAGACAAGGUUUGCAGGAUGAUCUUGGCUAAAAAGGGGUAAAGGAAGGGCAUUACUUCUUCCGGCAGCUUGACAGACUCUGAAAAUAGUCUGUUAACAGAGAAGAACGAAGAAGAAGAGUGAAUAGGGCUACUGGAUUUUUACAAGUAAGAGAGGAAGCUUGCUCUCUCAGCCUGGGUUGGUUUUUGCUAGGUGGAGGGGACCUCCUUUUAUAGCUGCGGGAAACUAUCCUUUCCCAAGAAACCCUAAUGGUUUCUUCCCAAUCUUGGCAAGUCUUUCCAUCCUUUUUCCUCUCUUCUCUUGACUUUCCUAUCUGGGUGAGAUUUCCCCUUAUCUAUUUGCACAAAAUCAGGAGUUUUGGAGCUCAAGACCCCUUUUCCCGCGGCUGCUUCAGUAGGAAGCUCCACUCUUGGCUACUUUUCUUCUUCUUUCCCUUCUCCUUCCUGGGCCAGCACCGAUAAGGGAAAACAACUGGGUGUAUAUGCUGGUUUGAAAGGGUACUCCUCUUCCUGACAACUUACAUGCUAAUAUCCCUUGGUCUCUCUAGUGUUUUGUUUUGGGACUUGAUCCAUUCCCAUGUGCUGGCACUUUCCAGCAGCUCUGUUCAGUGAACCUGCAGACCUCCUCUACGUGGCUUCUACUUUUCUAGCAAAGGGCUGAGGCUUUUGUGGCUUGUUGUGGAAUUUUGUAUGGGCUAAGGUACUUCAUUAAAUAAGUGGGCUAUUUAAACAUUGGGCUUUUGGUUGGGCUAUCCUUUGACUGGGCUAAUUUUGGUUGGGUUAUUUUGAUUGAGUUAUUUUCCCCUCUUUGCUCACCCAUAUAUUUGGGCCUAAGAAAUGGGCUUGGGUUCCGAGGCUCCCAAGCAACUCGGAACCUCCAUUUCUCGUCCCAUCAAUGGGCCUCAUGACCACCUAUUACCAUCCAUACCACAACCCACUCAAGCAAGCCCCAGGCAUCUUGCGUGGCUUGGGCCCACUUAAGCUUGUAGCAUGGCAUGUUGUUUAUUUGCUUGGCGUGGCAUGUGUAUAAGCGCAUAUGGCAAACUUUCGCGUGCCCCAAAUUGGGUUUCUUCUCGGUAAGAUAUCGCAUUGGGCUGAGAAUUUAUUUGGGCCGAAGCGUGGAUUUUUUGGGCCUCAACAGACUGCUUGAUUCUUUUUUAGUUUUUCCAUUAGGGAGUGUAUUCAAUUGAGAUUUUAAAAGACUAUUUUGAGAUAAAAAAGUCUUUUGGUAUUCAAGUUAGACUUUUAAAUAAUCUAAACAAGUUUUGUAGUAUUUCAUUAAGACUAUUAGGAUUUUUAAAAGAGAGUGUCGAAAUCACGUGGCAUUCAAUUAAGACUUUAAACAAGUAACAAAAAUUCUUAUGGUAUUCAAAAACUUGCUAAUUUCGAAAGAUUUUUUAAAAUAUGGAAUUAUGUGGGACUUUUUAGUGGGAGUUAUAAAUACUAAACCUUAUCUCAAAUCUCACCCUAACCUAUGAGAUUUUUCACAUGAAAAUUUUUUUUUUCUCGGGAAAAGAUGAACUUACAUGCACAAAAGGCUUCUCUCUGUGCAUCUCUCGUAUGCGGGUUUAGUUCAAUCGUGCGAAGAGAAGUUGCUCGUGGUACCAAAGCCUCACACCCAGUUGCUGAAUUUCAAUUUUCUCACUCUAUCUCUAAUGGCGGAGCAAAUAGCUCUCCCUCUACUCCUUCACAACCCAGCCCAAAUUUUUGUUAAAAAAAAUUACCUACACUACAUAUGUUCAGCCCACUUAAAUUAUACAAACCUAUCAAACACACCAUCCCAUCCUCCCGUGCAAUUCUUCUCCUCCUUUGCAAAACAGACAUAAGUUCUCUGUAGCCAGCCAACAACUCCUCUCUGCAGCCACUGCCAACAACUCCGCUCAACUUCUCUGCAGCCAGCAACUUCUCUUCUUGGCAACAACAAGUAUUCUUCUCAUUCUCUCCUUUUUAAUUAUCUUAUGCAUCUUUAAUUUGAAUAGAAAAUAUUCUAGGGUUUAAUUAGGAAUGACUUAUAAUUUGGAGAUUUGUUGAAAUUAAUUAGGGUUUUGAUUUUAGAAAUUUUGUUGAGAUGUUCAAUGUGUUGUUGGUAUUGUUGAUAUUUGAUUUGUGUGUUGGUAUGUUUGAUUAAAUGCAUUAAUUUGUUGUUGGUAUUGUUGAGGUGUUUGAUUUGUGUGUUGGUAUUUUUGUUGAAAUGUUUGAUUAAAAUCAUUUCUACAUAUUAUUUAUUUUAUAGGUUAUCUCUUAUUGUGUCUGCUCACAAUCGGAACCCCAAGAAAAUAAUGACUUUGUUGUCUUUUUUUAAGAAAAAGAAUGAUGACAUCAUCUAAUACAAAUAUCAAUUAUCUUGAACAUGAUCCAGAAGUACGUCAUCUAAUAUGCAAAUAUUCGGUGAAGGAACAAGAUAAUGUGCAAAGAGCAUAUAUUCUUUUAGGGUCAUGUCAACCCGAAUUAGAAGAUUAUUCAAGCCACUUAGAAGGGAAAAUCUUACGUUGAUUUAAUAAAAAGUGGUUUGGCCAAUUCUCUUGGCUUGAGUAUUCAGUUGCUACGAACAAGGCAUUUUGUUUUUCUUGUUUCCUAUUUGAUAGAAAUCAAUAAUUUUCGGCCUUGUUUUCCUUGGUUCCUAUCUACAGCAAUAACGGAAUGAGUUUUCUUAUGUAUGAGAAUUAUUGAAUCAACUUAGAAGCACCAAAGGUGAUGAAUUUCUUGCUGAUUGUAUGAUCCUCCACAUUGAAAGAGAGUUUGCCAAUACUAUCGACAAUGCAUCAAUAAUUGAGGAAUUUAAGAGUUCUAAGCCUCGUAGGGUUAAAUUUUAUAUUUAAAUAAUGUUGUUUUGUAUUGCAUUACAUUGCAUUUACUUUUGGUUUUUAUUUUAGUUUUUGUAUUUGUAGAUAUAUAUGAAUUUGAGGGUAAGGCUCAUUACGCUCCCCCUCACUAUAUGUAUCUUUUUAUGUUUAUUAAUAAAAUUCACUCGUACCAUCGAGUUUAGUACAUAAAUUUUGCCCGGUCAGCUUUUGAAUCCUAUGACCGCCACUGCACCACCCUCUUCAAGACCCUUCUUCCAAAACCAAAACCCAGCCACACCAACACCACCUCCACUUCCUCCACCACCAUCGCCGCAGAUAACCCCUCUUCUCUAAGAGCUCCUCCUCCACCCAAACCCCUCAACCCAAAACCGAACCUCCCCUCCCACCCUCGCCAGAGCACGCACUCGCAUCGGCAAGUCACGUGAUGGUAGAACCUUAUAUCUGAAAAAGAAAAGUUGCAAAAAAAUAGAGAAAAGAGAAAAGGAAAUUCAUUUUAUUUCAUUUCAUUAAUUCCUCUUAAGCAAAAGAGAGAGCGUUUAUACAAUUCCUGAUUUUGGCCAGCUGGCUAUGAUCUAGCAAAGUUUCUAACAAAACUUCCUACAAAUAGGGAAAGGACAAAGUUGUUAUUAUGUGUGGGAAUAGCUAGGUGAUGAUACUAAGGGAAUACAAAGGUGAUAGUAAGUGGGCUGCUGUUCACCUGUUUCGUGGUUGUUCCUGUAAUGCUAGGGUGAAGUUCCCCAUUGCCUUGAAAACCAUUGCCUGGUCAACAAGUCAACUUUUUUUAGUGUGCGAGCGUGCCACUGCUAGUAACGAAAAAUCCUAGCAGACUUCGAAAACAGAUAACUUGCGCCCCAAGUUAUUGAUUUCUAAACAAGCGAAUGCGAAUUUGGGUGAGGAAUAUCUCCCAAGUAAGUUCUUUUCUUGCCUCAGACUGGUGAGGACUUCACAAUUUUCACAGUGCAAUAUUGGUAGUUCUGGCUAGAAUAAAUAGUAAGAAAAUGGGUUGUUUUCAGGCAGAACUGACUUUUACAAAACUCGUAAUGGAAAAACCAACUCUAGAAAGACAAAAAGAAGGCUGGACUUCCAUUUCUACCUGGAUAGAUGCUUCUGAUCCGGGCUGGACUGGAUAUGCUUGUACUGGACUGGGCUGUCAGCAAGUUCAACUGUUAAGUUUCAGCUGUAAAUUGAUACCAACGUUCGAGUUUGGCAGAGCUUUAAUCUAUUUCAAGCCAUGGAAGGCUCUUUGAACGGACAGAAUUGCGGCCUCCUCAGUUUGAAAGGGGCAGAAGUGGCUAGAUUCAAGGAUUACUGAGCUGAUACUGCACUGUGAUGCCUGUUUUGCUUGAUCAGGGCUCUUCAUAAAUUUGUUGAGGUUUUCAUAUUUGUAAAAACCUAGGCUCUACUUGUCUUAGCUUUUGCUGAACCAAAUUUGCAACGAGAGAAAUCUCAUUUUAAAUGACUUUUCUCUAAGUCUGAAACUGAAUUGUAGCUGUCUUCUUUCUUGUGGCUCAGUGAGCUUUUGGUUGCUUCAGUUUGCUUGAAGUUCUUUUUGAGAUCAAGUGAUCAUUUUGAGUUUUUGUCAUUUGGCUGAUUUUUGGUUGUUUGAUUCAUUGUUCUUGAUCUGUUCACCUCCUCUCAUAUUUAUAGCAAAUGCUGGAGUGAGUAUUUUAAUCUUUUAAAAUGGGCGGCAGUUUUUCUAAAAAACAAGAUCUUUAUUUUUUUUUAGAAAAAAGGGAAGUUAUCUUUAUCAAAAAUAGACUAUCAAUGGUAAGUUUUAAGUCAAUCACUUCCCUACUUUUCUUUAAAAGACAAUCUAAUCUCUCUGCUCUUGUGAGAUUUCAAUCUACCAUGAUGGUUAGUUUGAUUUUCCAGAUGAGCAACUCCCUGCACCCUACUUAUCUGUUUAGAAAAUAUAGCCUGCUUAUCUCUUGGAAAUGGUACCUGCUUUAGAGCAUAAUUUUUCUGAAUAUAAAAAAGGUAUUGUGAUUUUCUUUUGCCUGAAAAAAGCUGGAGACUUUUGCCUGUUUUAAGACCUGCUUUUAUUAACUCCUUAUUAACCCAGUUGAAAUUGCUGACUUUUCAAAGUCAGGAAUUCUCGUGGGUUUGCCUCCAAUUUUGGGCCUUUCUUCUCUUUUAAUCAUACUCAGGCCCAGGUUGAGUUUUGAAACUGUGGGCUGAUUUUCCUUUUUUGAAGCCCAAAUAACAGUUUUUGGGCUGGGCCUUCUUGGAUUUGGGCUUUUGAAUUCAAAUGCAAAGCCUAAUCUGCUUGGGGCCUGAAAUUGCUUCGUUAUUCUGGGCUUCCAGUGUUGGGCUGAGUGUGUAAUUUUGACAUGGGCUUUUAAUAUUUGGACUGGGUGUGCCAAAUUUAGGCCCAAACAGCUGCAAAGAGUAUUAGGCCCAAAUGGGAUUAGGUCCUAACACGUGACUCCGGCCAUGGCAAGCCUUGGUCCCACCACCACCUCUCCUCUCAAGGUCAGCAUAUCCUUCAUUCCUUUCUUGACCCACAAUUUGAUUCUUCUAAACUAGAUGAGCAGCUUUUGGGUUUCGUUGAAUUGCAUAGAGAUGAAUUUGGUUCUAGGUUGGACUCUCUAUCUCUGGACGCCCUGGGUAUUGUUAGAGCAUCUCCAAUCGAUAUGUCAAAAGUGCCACAUAGACAUUUAACGGCUAUAAAUAACAUCUCACAUCACUCCAACUGAAUUGUCAAAGCUGAUGUGGAAUGAAGGUUGGAGGUUCAGCUGUUAUUUUUGACAUUCCAAAAACAAAAUGUCAAAUGAAUAUUUUAUUAUUUUUAAAGACAACUGGCUGUUACUUUCAUUUAUAAUUUUACUUUUUUAUUUUUUUCUUCUUUAUCUUUAAUGAUUUGAUUGUUACAAUAAUUAUUUAUUUGACAUAUCGGGUGGAGUGUAAGACUGUUUAAAUAUCAAAUUGCCACAUCAGCUAUCAAAUUUAAAUUUGAUGUUUGGUAUUUGACAUCUCCCCAGGAGAUGCUCUUAAAGGUUUAGUAUUCUAACAAAAGUGGGCAGGGUUUCUUCUGCAACUUCUUUGUUUCAGAGUUUGCAUAAGGAUGGGUUUUCUCCAAGCGUUGUGUCUUAUGCAAGAGAUGGUUUAUUGGAAGAGGCAAUAAACAUUUCCAUUUCUGAUUCUUAUAACUUGUUAUCGCUGCGGGCAUUGAGUAAGAUGGGUUGAUGUUGUGAGAGCUAAGUUAAUAUCAUGCCCUCGAUCAUUUUCUUGCAAGUAUGAAUAGAUGUGAUUGCUCUUUGCAUAAUUGCAUGCAAUAUGCAAUAUGGGUUGAUGUUGUGAUUGCUCUUUGAAUAGGUGAGGAAAUGAAAGGGACAGGGAAGGACUUUUGAGUAGGCAAUCAAUCAUUAUAUAUUAACCUACAGGGAAUGUACUUAACCAUACAAUAUUUGCAGCAGAAUAUAGCAUAAACUAAAAUACACUGCAAGCUUUAACUUCUAUCACUUUGCACCUCACCGCUUAUGUUUCGUCAUUAUCAAAACAGCUAACCAGUUGAGUAGUUCAUAAAGAAGAUUUGGAAUUUCAUGGUCAGUCAAACUACUCAAAACUGGAAUUCGACCUCACAGUGUACUCUGCCACAAGCUGAGCAAACGAUGACGACUUGUUCUCUAGCAAUGUCGCAGGAGAAUCAUAUUCCUCAAUGAGCCCUACAACAAGAACAAAGAUACAUUAAAAAAUGAAUAAGAAUUUGAGCUUCAGUGGUAACUAGAGGAAGUUGAAUGCAUUCAUUUGGCAACACUAACCAUGACUCAGAAGCAGAACCAUGUCACUAUCAAGAACAGAAGUUAUACGAUGUGCAAUGGUGAUGACUGUACAGUCAGUAAAGUGUUGGCGAAGGGUCUGCUGGAUGAGAUUAUCUGUAGCUGUAUCGACCGACGCGGUAGCUUCGUCAAGCACCAAGACCUUACUUUUCUUGAGCAGCACACGGCCAAGGCAGACCAACUGCCUCUGACCCAUACUCCAGUUCUCUCCAUUCUCACUAACUGCAGCAACCAUAUGAAACAUAAACAAAAGAAUUUCCAUGACGUAAAAUGAAAUCUAGUGCAUCAUAUAUAGCCUGUAUCUUAGAGUAGCCAUAGAACAAACCUGUGGCAUCCAGCUUUCCUUCCUUUCUCCUAACUUCAUCUCCAAGUUGACACUUAUCCAGGGCCUGAAAAAAUCAAAAGAUGUUUUAACUAGUCCCAUGAAUUUAGCACUGCAAAUCUAUAAAUGAAGAACAUUUAGUAGGAAGAAGAUUCCUUUCAUCAGUGUAAAACCAACCAACCUCCCAAAUUUGCUCAUCUGUGUACUCUUCAAGUGGGUCCAGAUUGCUUCUUACAGUCCCUUCAAACAUGGUUGGGUCCUGAGGGAUAAUGCUCAGCCUAGACCUUAGAUCAUGCAGUCCAAUUGAAGAUAUAUCAAUACCAUCUAUCAAAAUCUGGCCAGAAGCAGGAUCCACAAUUCGGAAAAGGGUCUGUAUGACAGUCGUUUUGCCACUGCCAGUUCUACCCACAAUCCCAGUUUUCAUUCCUCCAGGAAAGCUACAUGUGAUACCUCGCAACACAAGUGGCAUGUGUGGGGCAUACCGGACCUAUAUAAACAUGAAAUUCGAGUCACACAUGAAUGACCCCAUACGUUAUGAAAGAAAUAAACCAGAACAGCAAGUACCUGAAGAUCAUGUAUGUCAACUUUUCCACGUAAUGGCCAAGAACGAUCUGGCUGAUUGGAUUCUAUUACAAGAGGAGGCUCACUGGGAAUGGUAGUGUACUGUAGUAAUCUCUCCACUGAUAUAAUUCUGUUCUCCACAUUGCAAAGAUUCCAUGUAAACCACGACUGUAACGUGUUUAGAUUAAGUCCAUAUGUGACAGCUAAGCCCGCAACACCUUCAGAGUAAAAUACCAAAAACAAAUAAGAAAAGAGAGAACUCAUAGAUUUGCUUUACCAUUUGCUUUCAAAAGAAUAAUUAGUAACACGCUAAAUGAAUGCCACUUGCCUGGAUCAAUCACCCCUUCUGGAAUAGAGAUCAAGAAAACCAAACAGAAUCCAAAAGUUAUAGAUGACAACAUAUCCAAGCGAAAACAUAGCCACUCCAUUGCAGCCGCAGUAUGAAACUUAGGCCGACCAUAACCAUCCAUCAGUUUCAUGUUUGUAUCCCUAAAUCUUGAUUCUUGAUCGAAGCUCCUAAUAGUUGUCGACCCUGAAAUUGUUUCAGCAAAGUGUUGUAUCACUGGAGCUUUGCAUACUCCAACCAACCGUGCCAGUUCUCGUGCUGAAGGUAUGUAGUAUUGCUGCAUGAAUAUAAAAAUUUUGAGCAUCUUUCUUCACAUUUAACAUAGUUCAUAUAGAUUGCUGGCUGUAAUAGGAGUUAGGUUUGUUAUAUGGAUUCAUAUUGUCAAUCAUGUUCCAUGUUGUGCCAAUUUAGAAGUUUCUAAGAACUGUAGCAGAAAAAGGUGGAAGAAAAUGUUAAUAUAUCAACUUAGUGAACUUUUGUGUCAAUAAGGAAGCCAAGUUCCUCAGUUCCACAUCAAAUAGAAGGUAGAGCAUGUAUAGGAAUGAAUAACGAGCAUCAACAGUGCAUGAUCAACAAAGAAUUAACACUAAAGGGACAUUAACAUUUCCAUGUUAGAUUUCAUGUGGAAAUUCAUGUAUUGAUACAACAUAUAAGAGAGAAGCAGUAGGACAAAGAAGCGUUACCUGUAACCAGAUACAGAUUGCAAUCACAGGGAUAAAAAUGAUGAAAACCUGCCGUGCAACUUGCGAGAUCACUGCAAUAAUUCCCAGAAGAUGGAUCGAUGAGUUGGCAAGGGCCCCAAUUUGACCCGGCAUGUUCAAGUCCACUACAUUUUGGUCUGUAGAAGCCUGCAAGAAAUCAAUUAGCUACAUUGAUGAGAUUACUGCAUUCAGUACAGCAGCAGAGGGAGUGGUAGCUGUUUAAAGCAUCUAAUUCUCUUUGAAUAUCCCAAUAAGGCACUAUAUUAGAAAUAUAUUUUGCUUACUCUGUUUAGGAUUCGUCCACUUGGAGUGGCAUCAAAGAAAGACAUGGGAGCACGGAAAACGCAUGAAUGCAUUUUACUAAAGAGUAGAGUGGCUGUCUUGUACCCAGCUGUUGCAAGAAACAUGGAUCUGAAGAGGAUACAAAAAGAACUUCCAACGGCCAAAGCAACAUAAACAGUUAGAAGUGUAGAGGUUUGAACAGCAGGUUUCACAUCCUCUGAAACAGGAGUUGCCCAAGCCAUCCAGUAAUUGCUUCCAAUUUGAAGGACCUGAAAGAGAACCUGUGCAAGCAAGAUAAACGGAACAAGAGCACCUCCGUAUGCUGUGGUGAUGUACUUCCAGUAGACUGACAACCCAACUCUACCUUUCUCUCUCUCUUCUUCUUGAACAAGCUGCCCUUUUGGUAAAUCAUCUGUUUUAGAAUUUUGAACAUCAGUGUCUUCUACGUUUUGGACAACCCCACUAGUACUAGCAAAUUCUCCAUCUUCUUUGCUAACGCUUAUUUUUUCAACUGGCUCCACCUCUGCAGAAUUAAGCACGGACAAAGCUUCCGCGUGUGCUCCCACAAGUUCCAUAAAAUCAGUUCCUGAAUUAAGAAUGUCAUUGAACUUUCCUGCUUGAGUAAUCCUUCCGUCUUUCAUGACCUAAUGACAAACAAAUAAGUUUAAGCAGACAGAUACUAACUAGAUAAUAACAUGUCUUCUGGAUUUUUUACCAAGAUGAGGUCAGCAGCAGGUAAGAACUCCAUUUGAUGAGUAACAAAGAUUACUGUUUUUGAACCCAAGAGACCCAGCAAGCAUUCCUGUAGUGCAAUUAUCAAGCAAACAAAUUAAUAAUGAGCUGUCAAUUUUACGGAUGCCAGUAAUUCUAUGAUGUAAAUAAGUUUGGAUACUCAAUUUAAACUAGAUGUAAUCACACUACAAGAGGGAAAUGAAAUACCUUAAAAAGGUGUGAUCCUGUAUGAGCAUCAACAGCGCUAAAAGGAUCAUCAAACAGAUAAAUAUCAGCGUCUUGAUACAGAGCACGUGCAAUUUGUAUUCUUUGCUUCUGUCCACCACUUAAAUUGAUUCCCCUCUCCCCUAUAAUUGUCUGAUCACCAAACGAUAGAAUUUCCAGGUCCUUCUUUAAUGAACAUGCUUCAAGCACCCUCUCAUAUCUUUCUCUGUCCAUCUCUUGACCAAACAAUAUGUUUUCCUCUAUCUUGCCACUCUGUAUCCACGGUGACUGAGAAACAUAGGCCUUUGUCCCACACAUUUUAAGAGUCCCCGAUAUCUUCGGAACUUCUCCCAGAAUACAAGAAAGUAAGCUAGACUUGCCUGAGCCAACAGUACCACAAACAGCAACCCUCAUACCUUGGCUCACUUUGAAAUUUAGAUCCUUCAAUGUUGGACUAGGGGAUGAUAAAUCCCAAGAGAAAUUCCCAUCGACUAUCUCAAUUGCUGUAUCAGAACUACCUCUUGGAAGGUUCUCUAUAACGUCAGGAGGCAAGUCAUCAAGACUAAGGAAUGAUGCAAUUCUAUCAAGGGAUACCUUAGUUUGUGCUAUCAUUGAAAUUAAGUCUGGAAGACCGUAGAUAGGCUCUUGAAGAAUCCUGAAUGUUGCAAGUGCAGAUAAGAUCUUCCCCGACUCAAGUGGGAUCCCCAAAAGCAUGCAAGCAACGAACGUGACCACUGACACAAAUGUGGGGGCACCCCAGAAAACAAAUGAGGUCAUGGCAGACGUGUAAACAAACUUUCGUAACCAUCCCGCCUCAGUCUUCCUGAGAUCAUUAAUUUUAGACAAAAACUUCAUCUCCCAUGCUUGAAACUUGAGAAUCCUCAUGUUCCUCAAGACCUCAGAUGUUGCCUUCAUCCUUUUAUCUUUCGACUCCAUUAACUUUUCCUGAAACUUCUCCUGCAAGGACCCCAAAGGAACAUUUGCCAACAUAACAAUUAUUGUUGCAACUAAAGUUGCAAUGGCUGCAAGACCAAGAUUUAUGUACAAAAUCACUAGGGCCAAGCCAACUUGUAGAAUGACCAUCAAUGGUUCAUGCAUGUACCAAGAGAAGUCACCAACCCUCUCAGCAUCAACAGUCAUAAAAUUGAUAAUCUCACCGCUAGUGUGGCCCUGCUUGGACUGGCAUGACAGGGUCAAACCCUUAUUAUAGAUCGCUGUGACAAGUACCGCUCGGAUUCUUACUCCUACCUGUUGUACCUUAAAGAACCAGUGCCUUUGACAGAGGCACUCCACCAGCUUCGCAAUCAUAAAUGCAGAAACCAAAGCAUAGCCUUCAUUUUUGAAUUUUCUCCGUCCAUAGAGGUAUUGAACAAACGUGUCAAUUAGAUAUGGACCGACAUAAGAUGCCAAUGUGUUAAAUGUAGCAUAUAACCCUGUCAAGCCAACGUCUUUCCAGGCUGAGAAUAUCAAUGCCUUCGCCAGAUGAAAUGUGGUAACUCUGCCAUCCGCACCCCACUCCGCCUCCAGUUUAUUUCUAAAAUUUGGAAAGGACCCAGCUACACUAUCACCCUUGUAUAGUUCAGGAACAUCCUCAAGGUCUAAUGUCGUCUUAUUGCCAAGCGCAAUUAGAGGACCAAUCCAAGAAAAAGUAAGGAUGCUGAAAAAUCCAGCAUUUGAAUAAGGGGUAACAGGUGUACCCCCUUUGGAAUUAUUUGACACUGCAUUACCAUUACCAUUCAAAAGGGGUUCCUCAAGAACGGUAUUUCUGCCCUCUUUCUUCCCAAAAAACCCCACAAAUAUAAAGAACAAACCCGAGAUGACGCAGACAACAUCAAAAACAA
rnacentral:lncRNA from 1 species